rnacentral:lncRNA from 1 species
GUUUUGAACUGGAAUAGCUGGUUUUAAACACUGACAUUAUGAAUGCUUGGGAUAAGCCAUUGAAAUGGCUGCAGACUUAAUUGGACUAAUGACCCAUUGCUGUUAUGCAUAAAACUCUGGUGUUCACAGAGAAUUGACAAAGCUGUGGAAAUGGUCCACAAAUAUGAACCCAGGCACAAAGGCUACUGCUCUAGAACUCCCUUCUUCUUACUCCUGAAAUGUUGGAUGAUGCUAUGGGAAACAGAUGAGUUUGUCCAGGGAACCAUGUGGAGUAUGAACAGAAGGAAGGCAAGAAAGGAACUCAUCAAACGGAUUGAAGAUAAGAGAUGGGAGGGCCCGGGACAUCUUCCAUGGUGGCUCCUGUCCAUGGGACACCUGGCUGGUACCCACAGAAAGUUGGCUUCCAGCCGUGCUUGAGUGAGAACAGUGAGGGCCCUUGCCUUCCUACAGUGAUUACUCGAUAAAUGAUCACUGUCAUUGUCACAUAAUAACGUGGCUAUUAUGAUCAUGGACAGAGCAAAAAUAAGUGACUGUUUUUCAAGAGUCUAUUUGGUGUAGACUUCUCCAGAGGCAGAACUGUGGAAUAAAAUUAUUUCCAGUGGUCCCUCCCAGCCCCUUGGCUCCGUAAUUCUCCCACUUUAAUAUGUGACUAGUGAUUAAGAACUAUCUUGAAAUUUUGAUUU